rnacentral:rRNA from 1 species
UACGGAGGGUGCAAGCGUUAUUCGGAAUCACUGGGCGUAAAGGACGCGUAGGCGGGGUGGAAAGUCAGGUGUGAAAGCCUACAGCUUAACUGUAGAACUGCACUUGAAACUCCCACCCUAGAGUAUGGGAGGGGCAGAUGGAAUUAGUGGUGUAGGGGUAAAAUCCGUAGAUAUCACUAGGAAUACCGAAAGCGAAGGCGAUCUGCUGGAACAUAACUGACGCUAAGGCGUGAAAGCGUGGGGAGCAAACAGGAUUAGAUACCCUGGUAGUCCACGCCCUAAACGAUGUUCACUAGUCGUCGGAAUGCUAGUCAUUUCGGUGAUGCACUUAACAGAUUAAGUGAACCGCCUGGGGAGUACGGUCGCAAGAUUAAAACUCAAAGGAAUAGACGGGGGACCCGCACAAGUGGUGGAGCAUGUGGUUUAAUUCGAAGAUACGCGAAGAACCUUACCUAGCCUUGACAUUGAUUGAACCUGCCAGAGAUGGCGGGGUGCCCUUCGGGGAGCAUGAAAACAGGUGCUGCACGGCUGUCGUCAGCUCGUGUCGUGAGAUGUUGGGUUAAGUCCCGCAACGAGCGCAACCCUCGUCCUUAGUUGCUAGCAGUUCGGCUGAGCACUCUAAGGAGACUGCCUUCGCAAGGAGGAGGAAGGUGAGGACGACGUCAAGUCAUCAUGGCCCUUAUGGCUAGGGCUACACACGUGCUACAAUGGGGCGUACAGAGUGUUGCGAUCCCGCGAGGUGGAGCUAAUCACUUAAAGCGUCUCUCAGUUCGGAUUGGAGUCUGCAACUUGACUCCAUGAAGCUGGAAUCACUAGUAAUCGUAGAUCAGCAAUGCUACGGUGAAUACGUUCCCGGGUC